UUGCUUUUGCAGGAGAAAAUCUGGAAAUCGGGCAGGAAGAAGAGAAGCCCCGUGACUCCUCCCUGAGCCCCAGACAGCCCAUGAACUGCCUUGCUGGGAAUGGUGGGAUGGGCUGGACUCUGCAUUGCUCCCUCGGGAUGUGUGGCUCUCCCCUCAGGAACUGCAGGAACUCCUGGUGCCGCCUGGGCCGAUGGAUUGGACGCCCCAGCCCCUCCGUUCCUGCCCAGCCACUGGGGCCGUGUCCAGUGGUGGCACUGCCAGCCCUGCAGUGGGAUGGAGCCUGGAAAGUGCACAGAGCUGAGCCCAGGGAUGUAAAGGGACCAAGCAAGGGAGGUGAAGAAAGAAGGAAGAAGGGAAGUGAGGCAGCAGGCAAGCAGCACCAAGUUGCUGUGUAAGCAGAAACUGUGGAUCCUGGCCAUCCUCAGAGCCCUUGUGGUCCCUCUGGGCGAUGCUGUUGGCCCGGGCAGUGCCCUGGAAAAGUGCACCAACUGAUAUCGUGCUGGAAAAAUAACCCACUUCAAUGGAUCAAAGGACCGAAGGAAAGGAUGAGAAGUUCCCUGAGAAUGGAGCCCCGGGGCUGCUGGCCCUGAGGAGCAGGGUAAGGGCUGGGUGUGCUCAGGGGCCCUGGCUAAAGGCUGCAGGUGCAGUGGGUGUGUGCUGGGCCAAGGCAGCCAAGGUGUGUGCAGCUGUUCCGUGC